rnacentral:misc_RNA from 1 species
GAUGAAGAACGCAGUGAAAUGCGAUAAGUAGUGUGAAUUGCAGAAUUCAGUGAAUCAUCGAAUCUUUGAACGCACAUUGCGCCUCCUGGUAUUCCGGGAGGCAUGCCUGUUCGAGCGUCAUUAAAAUCACUCAAGCUUAGGUUUACCUAUUGCUUGGUCUUGGAGAUGGAAGCCAAUUUAUUGGAAUCCUCUUCAAAAUUCAAUGGCGAAGACCCUUGCUCUCCCAAGUGUAGUAAUAACUUAUGUCACUGAAGGAAGCGAGAAAUCUUCUGCCGUAACCCCCAUAUUUUCUAUGAUUGACCUCGGAUCAGGUAGGGAUACCCGCUGAACUUAAGCAUAUCAAUAAGCGGAGGA